UAACCGUGCCUCAUACACAUGGAUAACAUACCGAAAGGUAUGCUAAUACAAGAUGAUAUAAGAGAUUCGCAUGGAUUUCUUAUCAAAGCUUUUGCGGUAUGAGAUGGACCCGCGUCUGAUUAGCUAGUUGGUAAGGUAAUGGCUUACCAAGGCGACGAUCAGUAGCCGACCUGAGAGGGUGAUCGGCCACAUUGGAACUGAGACACGGUCCAA
rnacentral:rRNA from 1 species